GAUGAACGCUGGCGGCGUGCUUAACACAUGCAAGUCGACGGAGAGAAAGUGCUUGCACUUUCUCUUAGUGGCGGACGGGUGAGUAACGCGUGGGUAACCUGCCCUAUGCAGGGGGAUAACAACGAGAAAUCGUUGCUAAUACCGCAUAAUAAAGAAGAGCUGCAUGGCUUUUCUUUCAAAGAUUUAUCGGCAUAGGAUGGACCCGCGUUGGAUUAGCUAGUUGGUGAGAUAACAGCCCACCAAGGCGACGAUCCAUAGCCGGCCUGAGAGGGUGAACGGCCACACUGGGACUGAGACACGGCCCAGAGUCCUACGGGAGGCAGCAGUGGGGAAUAUUGCACAAUGGGCGCAAGCCUGAUGCAGCGACGCCGCGUGAAGGAUGAAGGUCUUCGGAUUGUAAACUUCUAUCAGCAGGGAAGAAGGAGUGUCUUCGGACACUCUUGACGGUACCUGACUAAGAAGCACCGGCUAACUACGUGCCAGCCGCCGCGGUAA
rnacentral:rRNA from 1 species